GUGCCAGCAGCCGCGGUAAUACGGAGGGUGCAAGCGUUAAUCGGAAUUACUGGGCGUAAAGCGCACGCAGGCGGUUUGUUAAGUCAGAUGUGAAAUCCCCGGGCUCAACCUGGGAACUGCAUCUGAUACUGGCAAGCUUGAGUCUCGUAGAGGGGGGUAGAAUUCCAGGUGUAGCGGUGAAAUGCGUAGAGAUCUGGAGGAGUACCGGUGGCGAAGGCGGCCCCCUGGACGAAGACUGACGCUCAGGUGCGAAAGCGUGGGGAGCAAACAG
rnacentral:rRNA from 1 species